AUUGAACGCUGGCGGCAUGCUUUACACAUGCAAGUCGAACGGCAGCACGGGGGCAACCCUGGUGGCGAGUGGCGAACGGGUGAGUAAUGCAUCGGAACGUGCCCCGUCGUGGGGGAUAACACAUCGAGAGAUGUGCUAAUACCGCAUACGACCUGAGGGUGAAAGCGGGGGACCGCAAGGCCUCGCGCGAUGGGAGCGGCCGAUGUCUGAUUGGGUGGUUGGUGGGGUAAAGGCCUACCACGGCGACGAUCAGUAGCGGGUCUGAGAGGACGACCGGCCACACAGGGACUGAGACACGGCCCAGAAUCCUACGGGAGGCAGCAGUGGGGAAUUUUGGACAAUGGGGGCAACCCUGAUCCAGCCAUGCCGCGUGCGGGAAGAAGGCCUUCGGGUUGUAAACCGCUUUUGGCAGGAACGAAACGGUGCGGGCGAAUACCCUGUGCUAAUGACGGUACCUGCAGAAUAAGCACCGGCUAACUACGUGCCAGCAGCCGCCGUAAGAC
rnacentral:rRNA from 1 species